ensembl:ncRNA asRNA:CR45146 antisense RNA:CR45146
GGCCAUCAAGUGCUCUCCUCUAGCCCCAUCCAAACCAUAUCGGUGACGUACUGGGUGCGUAAACAGGUGUGAGUUUAAUGGAGCGCGCUUAUCGGCAGACGUACCCCACCAUAUUUGUAAUGGUCUAGUGAUAAAGCGGAAUUCUUGCUGGCCCCCAAAAAUCACACGAUGUUCCUAGAACGCUUGCCAUAUGGCUAUGACAAUAUUAUGAAGGCAAAGUACAAGCGGCCACACACCUCCUCCACCGUAAGCGGCAUGCAUACGCGAUACUCCUUGAUUAGCACCAUUUCUUUGGCGGAUUUGUAUGCCGGAGAAAAUACAAAUCAAAACUUUGAACGUUACGCAAAGAGACACACACGCGACGCAACGGCAAGCAACAACAAAUACGCAGUGUGGCCAGGCAGCAGCUGUUUAAAUACAUUUCGGGACUUGGAAUAGAGUGCACGGAGAGGUGGAGCACUUCGUUGAAAUAUCAGCAGUGUCAAGAACCAUUGACAAAUAUAUCGAUAAGACCGUAACAAUAUUUUAAUAAUUUAAUUAAAUGAAUUCAUAUAAUAAUGACAACAGUUUUGAUAUCGUAAGUAAAGUGAACAUCAACAAAAUAAUGCAUCGUAAACUGUGUAUAAUAAAAUGAAGUGUGAAAGGUGUAUAAGUAUUAGAUUAUAGGUAACACUAAUAUCGAUAGAAUUAAUUAUAUAGUCUAUAGAAACACGAUAGCAUAAUCGAGAUCGAGGGGUUUGAAUCGAGAGCUUGAUAGAGAAACAACUUGCAUACAAAAACUUAUCAAGAUUGUUAGAGCAUUCAAUAUUUUAAUAAGAACCAAUUUUAC